GAUGAACGCUGGCGGCGUGCCUAAUACAUGCAAGUCGAGCGAACGGACGAGAAGCUUGCUUCUCUGAUGUUAGCGGCGGACGGGUGAGUAACACGUGGAUAACCUACCUAUAAGACUGGGAUAACUUCGGGAAACCGUAGCUAAUACCGGAUAAUAUUUUGAACCGCAUGGUUCAAAAGUGAAAGACGGUCUUGCUGUCACUUAUAGAUGGAUCCGCGCUGCAUUAGCUAGUUGGUAAGGUAACGGCUUACCAAGGCAACGAUGCAUAGCCGACCUGAGAGGGUGAUCGGCCACACUGGAACUGAGACACGGUCCAGACUCCUACGGGAGGCAGCAGUAGGGAAUCUUCCGCAAUGGGCGAAAGCCUGACGGAGCAACGCCGCGUGAGUGAUGAAGGUCUUCGGAUCGUAAAACUCUGUUAUUAGGGAAGAACAUAUGUGUAAGUAACUGUGCACAUCUUGACGGUACCUAAUCAGAAAGCCACGGCUAACUACGUGCCAGCAGCCGCGGUAAUACGUAGGUGGCAAGCGUUAUCCGGAAUUAUUGGGCGUAAAGCGCGCGUAGGCGGUUUUUUAAGUCUGAUGUGAAAGCCCACGGCUCAACCGUGAAGGGUCAUUGGAAACUGGAAAACUUGAGUGCAGAAGAGGAAAGUGGAAUUCCAUGUGUAGCGGUGAAAUGCGCAGAGAUAUGGAGGAACACCAGUGGCGAAGGCGACUUUCUGGUCUGUAACUGACGCUGAUGUGCGAAAGCGUGGGGAUCAAACAGGAUUAGAUACCCUGGUAGUCCACGCCGUAAACGAUGAGUGCUAAGUGUUAGGGGGUUUCCGCCCCUUAGUGCUGCAGCUAACGCAUUAAGCACUCCGCCUGGGGAGUACGACCGCAAGGUUGAAACUCAAAGGAAUUGACGGGGACCCGCACAAGCGGUGGAGCAUGUGGUUUAAUUCGAAGCAACGCGAAGAACCUUACCAAAUCUUGACAUCCUUUGACAACUCUAGAGAUAGAGCCUUCCCCUUCGGGGGACAAAGUGACAGGUGGUGCAUGGUUGUCGUUAGCUCGUGUCGUGAGAUGUUGGGUUAAGUCCCGCAACGAGCGCAACCCUUAAGCUUAGUUGCCAUCAUUAAGUUGGGCACUCUAAGUUGACUGCCGGUGACAAACCGGAGGAAGGUGGGGAUGACGUCAAAUCAUCAUGCCCCUUAUGAUUUGGGCUACACACGUGCUACAAUGGACAAUACAAAGGGCAGCGAAACCGCGAGGUCAAGCAAAUCCCAUAAAGUUGUUCUCAGUUCGGAUUGUAGUCUGCAACUCGACUACAUGAAGCUGGAAUCGCUAGUAAUCGUAGAUCAGCAUGCUACGGUGAAUACGUUCCCGGGUCU
rnacentral:rRNA from 1 species